UGAGGUUGGUGUGUGUGUGAUGCUGUGAGGUUGGUGUGUGUGAUGCUGUGAGGUUGGUGUGUGUGAUGCGGUGAGGUUGGUGUGUGUGUGAUGCGGUGAGGUUGGUGUGUGUGAUGCGGUGAGGUUGUUGUGUGUGAUGCUGUGAGGUUGGUGUGUGUGAUGCUGUGAGGUUGGUGUGUGUGAUGCUGUGAGGUUGGUGUGUGUGAUGCUGUGAGGUUGUAGUGUGUGAUGCUGUGAGGUUGGUGUGUGUGAUGCUGUGAGGUUGGUGUGUGUGAUGCUGUGAGGUUGGUGUGUGUGAUGCUGUGAGGUUGGUGUGUGUGAUGCUGUGAGGUUGGUGUGUGUGUGUGAUGCUGUGAGGUUGGUGUGUGUGUGAUGCUGUGAGGUUGGUGUGUGUGUGAUGCUGUGAGGUUGGUGUGUGUGAUGCUGUGAGGUUGAUGUGUGUGAUGCUGUGAGGUUGUUGUGUGUGAUGCUGUGAGGUUGUAGUGUGCGAUGCUGUGAGGUUGGUGUGUGUGUGAUGCUGUGAGGUUGGUGUGUGUGUGAUGCUGUGAGGUUGGUGUGUGUGUGAUGCUGUGAGGUUGGUGUGUGUGAUGCUGUGAGGUUGAUGUGUGUGAUGCUGUGAGGUUGUUGUGUGUGAUGCUGUGAGGUUGUUGUGUGUGAUGCUGUGAGGUUGGUGUGUGUGUGAUGAUGUGAGGUUGGUGUGUGUGUGAUGCUGUGAGGUUGGUGUGUGUGAUGCUGUGAGGUUGUAGUGUGUGUGAUGCUGUGAGGUUGUUGUGUGUGAUGCUGUAAGGUUGUUGUGUGUGAUGCUGUGAGGUUGUAGUGUGUGUGAUGCUGUGAGGUUGUUGUGUGUGAUGCUGUAAGGUUGUUGUGUGUGAUGCUGUGAGGUUGUUGUGUGUGAUGCUGUGAGGUUGUUGUGUGUGAUGCUGUGAGGUUGGUGUGUGUGUGAUGCGGUGAGGUUGGUGUGUGUGUGAUGCGGUGAGGUUGGUGUGUGUGUAAUGCGGCGAGGUUGUUGUGUGUGAUGCUGUGAGGUUGGUGUGUGUGUGAUGCUGUGAGGUUGUUGUGUGUGAUGCUGUGAGGUUGUUGUGUGUGAUGCUGUGAGGUUGUUGUGUGUGAUGCUGUGAGGUUGGUGUGUGUGAUGCUGUGAGGUUGGUGUGUGUGAUGCUGUGAGGUUGGUGUGUGUGAUGCUGUGAGGUUGGUGUGUGUGAUGCUGUGAGGUUGGUGUGUGUGAUGCUGUGAGGUUGGUGUGUGUGAUGCUGUGAGGUUGGUGUGUGUGAUGCUGUGAGGUUGUAGUGUGUGAUGCUGUGAGGUUGUAGUGUGUGAUGCUGUGAGGUUGUUGUGUGAUGCUGUGAGGUUGGUGUGUGUGAUGCUGUGAGGUUGGUGUGUGUGAUGCUGUGAGGUUGGUGUGUGUGAUGCUUUGAGGUUGGUGUGUGUGAUGCUGUGAGGUUGGUGUGUGUGAUGCUGUGAGGUUGGUGUGUGUGUGUGAUGCUGUGAGGUUGGUGUGUGUGUGAUGCUGUGAGGUUGUUGUGCGUGUGAUGCCGUGAGGUUGUUGUGUGCGAUGCCGUGAGGUUGUUGUGUGCGAUGCUGUGAGGUUGUAGUGUGCGAUGCUGUGAGGUUGGUGUGUGUGUGAUGCUUUGAGGUUAGUGUGUGUGAUGCUGUGAGGUUGGUGUGUGUGUGAUGCUGUGAGGUUGGUGUGUGUGAUGCUGUGAGGUUGGUGUGUGUGAUGCGCUGAGGUUGGUGUGUGCGAUGCUGUGAGGUUGGUGUGUGCGAUGCUGUGAGGUUGGUGUGUGCGAUGCUGUGAGGUUGGUGUGUGUGUUUGAUGCUGUGAGGUUGGUGUGACUGAUGCUGUGAGGUUGGUGUGUGUGAUGCUGUGAGGUUGGUGUGUGUGAUGCUGUGAGGUUGGUGUGUGUGAUGCUGUGAGGUUGGUGUGUGUGAUGCUGUGAGGUUGAUGUGUGUGAUGCUGUGAGGUUGGUGUGUGUGAUGCUGUGAGGUUGGUGUGUGUGAUGCUGUGAGGUUGGUGUGUGUGAUGCUGUGAGGUUGUGGUGUGUGUGAUGCUGUGAGGUUGUUGUGUGUGUGAUGCUGUGAGGUUGGUGUCUGUGAUGCUGUGAGUUUGGUGUCUGUGAUGCUGUGAGGUUGUUGUGUGUGUGAUGCUGUGAGGUUGGUGUGUGUGUGAUGCUGUGAGGUUGUGGUGUGUGUGAUGCUGUGAGGUUGUGGUGUGUGUGAUGCUGUGAGGUUGUGGUGUGUGUGAUGCUGUGAGGUUGUGGUGUGUGUGAAUCUGUGAAGUUGUGGUGUGUGUGAAUCUGUGAAGUUGGUGUGUGUGAUGCUGUGAGGUUGGUGUGUGUGAUGCUGUGAGGUUGGUGUGUGUGAUGCUGUGAGGUUGGUGUGUGUGUGAUGCUGUGAGGUUGUUGUGUGUGGGAUGCUGUGAGGUUGGUGUGUGUGAUGCUGUGAGGUUGUUGUGUGUGAUGCUGUGAGGUUGGUGUGUGUGAUGCUGUGAGGUUGGUGUGUGUGAUGCUGUGAGGUUGUGGUGUGUGUGAUGCUGUGAGGUUGUGGUGUGUGUGAUGCUGUGAGGUUGUGUGUGUGAUGCUGUGAGGUUGUUGUGUGUGUGAUGCUGUGAGGUUGGUGUGUGUGAUGCUGUGAGGUUGGUGUGUGUGAUGCUGUGAGGUUGGUGUGUUUGAUGCUGUGAGGUUGGUAUGUGUGAUGCUGUGAGGUUGGUGUGUGUGAUACUGUGAGGUUGUAGUGUGUGUGAUGCUGUGAGGUUGUAGUGUGUGUGAUGCUGUGAGGUUGUUGUGUGUGUGAUGCUGUGAGGUUGUUGUGUGUGUGAUGCUGUGAGGUUGUUGUGUGUGUGAUGCUGUGAGGUUGUUGUAUGUGUGAUGCUGUGAGGUUGUAGUGUGUGUGAUGCUGUGAGGUUGUAGUGUGUGUGAUGCUGUGAGGUUGUUGUGUGUGUGAUGCUGUGAGGUUGUUGUGUGUGUGAUGCUGUGAGGUUGUUGUGUGUGUGAUGCUGUGAGGUUGUUGUGUGUGAUGCUGUGAGGUUGGUGUGUGUGAUGCUGUGAGGUUGGUGUGUGUGUGAUGCUGUGAGGUUGGUGUGUGUGUGAUGCUGUGAGGUUGGUGUGUGUGUGAUGCUGUGAGGUUGGUGUGUGUGUGAUGCUGUGAGGUUGGUGUGUGUGAUGCUGUGAGGUUGGUGUGUGUGAUGCGGUGAGGUUGGUGUGUGUGUGAUGCGGUGAGGUUGGUGUGUGUGAUGCGGUGAGGUUGUUGUGUGUGAUGCUGUGAGGUUGGUGUGUGUGAUGCUGUGAGGUUGGUGUGUGUGAUGCUGUGAGGUUGGUGUGUGUGAUGCUGUGAGGUUGUAGUGUGUGAUGCUGUGAGGUUGGUGUGUGUGAUGCUGUGAGGUUGGUGUGUGUGAUGCUGUGAGGUUGGUGUGUGUGAUGCUGUGAGGUUGGUGUGUGUGAUGCUGUGAGGUUGGUGUGUGUGUGUGAUGCUGUGAGGUUAGUGUGUGUGUGAUGCUGUGAGGUUGGUGUGUGUGUGAUGCUGUGAGGUUGGUGUGUGUGAUGCUGUGAGGUUGAUGUGUGUGAUGCUGUGAGGUUGUUGUGUGUGAUGCUGUGAGGUUGUUGUGUGUGAUGCUGUGAGGUUGGUGUGUGUGUGAUGAUGUGAGGUUGGUGUGUGUGUGAUGCUGUGAGGUUGUUGUGUGUGAUGCUGUGAGGUUGUUGUGUGUGAUGCUGUGAGGUUGUUGUGUGUGAUGCUGUGAGGUUGGUGUGUGUGAUGCUGUGAGGUUGGUGUGUGUGAUGCUGUGAGGUUGGUGUGUGUGAUGCUGUGAGGUUGUAGUGUGUGAUGCUGUGAGGUUGUAGUGUGUGAUGCUGUGAGGUUGUUGUGUGAUGCUGUGAGGUUGGUGUGUGUGAUGCUGUGAGGUUGGUGUGUGUGAUGCUGUGAGGUUGUUGUGUGUGAUGCUGUGAGGUUGGUGUGUGUGUGUGAUGCUGUGAGGUUGGUGUGUGAUGCUGUGAGGUUGUUGUGCGUGUGAUGCUGUGAGGUUGUUGUGUGCGAUGCUGUGAGGUUGUUGUGUGCGAUGCUGUGAGGUUGUAGUGUGCGAUGCUGUGAGGUUGGUGUGUGUGUGAUGCUGUGAGGUUAGUGUGUGUGAUGCUGUGAGGUUGGUGUGUGUGAUGCUGUGAGGUUGGUGUGUGUGAUGCUGUGAGGUUGGUGUGUGUGAUGCUGUGAGGUUGGUGUGUGUGAUGCGGUGAGGUUGGUGUGUGUGAUGCGGUGAGGUUGGUGUGUGUGAUGCUGUGAGGUUGGUGUGUGCGAUGCUGUGAGGUUGUUGUGUGCGAUGCUGUGAGGUUGUUGUGUGCGAUGCUGUGAGGUUGGUGUGUGUGUGAUGCUGUGAGGUUGGUGUGACUGAUGCUGUGAGGUUGGUGUGACUGAUGCUGUGAGGUUGGUGUGUGUGAUGCUGUGAGGUUGGUGUGUGUGUGUGAUGCUGUGAGGUUGGUGUGUGUGUGUGAUGCUGUGAGGUUGGUGUGUGUGUGUGAUGCUGUGAGGUUGGUGUGUGUGUGUGAUGCUGUGAGGUUGGUGUGUGUGUGUGAUGCUGUGAGGUUGUUGUGUGUGAUGCUGUGAGGUUGUUGUGCGUGAUGCUGUGAGGUUGGUGUGCGUGAUGCUGUGAGGUUGGUGUGCGUGAUGCUGUGAGGUUGGUGUGCGUGAUGCUGUGAGGUUGGUGUGCGUGUGAUGCUGUGAGGUUGGUGUGCGUGUGAUGCUGUGAGGUUGGUGUGCGUGUGAUGCUGUGAGGUUGGUGUGCGUGUUGCUGUGAGGUUGGUGUGCGUGUUGCUGUGAGGUUGGUGUGCGUGAUGCUGUGAGGUUGGUGUGUGUGAUGCUGUGAGGUUGUUGUGUGUGAUGCUGUGAGGUUGGUGUGUGUGAUGCUGUGAGGUUGGUGUGUGUGUGAUGCUGUGAGGUUGGUGUGCGUGUGAUGCUGUGAGGUUGGUGUGCGUGAUGCUGUGAGGUUGGUGUGCGCGAUGCUGUGAGGUUGGUGUGCGCGAUGCUGUGAGGUUGUUGUGUGCGAUGCUGUGAGGUUGGUGUGUGCGAUGCUGUGAGGUUGGUGUGUGCGAUGCUGUGAGGUUGGUGUGUGCGAUGCUGUGAGGUUGGUGUGUGUGUGAUGCUGUGAGGUUGGUGUGUGUGUGAUACUGUGAGGUUGGUGUGUGUGUGAUACUGUGAGGUUGUAGUGUGCGAUGCUGUGAGGUUGGUGUGUGUGUGAUGCUGUGAGGUUGGUGUGUGUGUGAUGCUGUGAGGUUGGUGUGUGUGAUGCUGUGAGGUUGGUGUGUGUGAUGCUGUGAGGUUGGUGUGUGUGAUGCUGUGAGGUUGGUGUGUGUGAUGCUGUGAGGUUGUAGUGUGUGUGAUGCUGUGAGGUUGUGGUGUGUGAUGCUGUGAGGUUGUUAUGUGUGUGAUGCUGUGAGGUUGUUGUGUGUGAUGCUGCGAGGUUGGUGUGUGUGAUGCUGCGAGGUUGGUGUGUGUGAUGCUGCGAGGUUGGUGUGUGUGAUGCUGCGAGGUUGUGUGUGUGAUGCUGUGAGGUUGUGUGUGUGAUGUUGUGAGGUUGUUGUGUGUGUGAUGCGGUGAGGUUGUGUGUGUGAUGCUGUGAGGUUGUUGUGUGAUGCUAUGAGGUUGGUGUGUGUGAUGCUUUGAGGUUGGUGUGUGUGUGAUGCUGUGCGGUUGGUGUGUGUGAUGCUGUGAGGUUGGUGUUUGUGAUGCUGUGAGGUUGGUGUGUUUGAUGCUGUGAGGUUGGUGUGUGUGUGUGAUGCUGUGAGGUUGUUGUGUGUGAUGCUGUGAGGUUGGUGUGUGUGAUGCUGUGAGGUUGUUGUGUGUGUGAUGCUGUGAGGUUGGUGUGUGUGUGAUGCUGUGAGGUUGGUGUGUGUGUGUGUGAUGCUGUGAGGUUGGUGUGUGUGUGUGAUGCUGUGAGGUUGGUGUUGUGCGAUGCUGUGAGGUUGGUGUGUGUGUGUGAUGCUGUGAGGUUGGUGUGUGUGAUGCUGUGAGGUUGUGUGUGUGUGACGCUGUGAGGUUGGUGCGUGUGAUGCUGUGAGGUUGGUGCGUGUGAUGCUGUGAGGUUGGUGCGUGUGAUGCUGUGAGGUUGGUGUGUGUGAUGCUGUGAGGUUGGUGUGUGUGAUGCUGUGAGGUUGUUGUGUGUGUGAUGCUGUGAGGUUGGUGUGUGUGUGUGAUGCUGUUGUGUGUGUGAUGCUGUGAGGUUGGUGUGUGUGAUGCUGUGAGGUUGUGUGUGUGUGAUGCUGUGAGGUUGGUGUUGUGCGAUGCUAUCCUGCGAUACUUGUCCUCAGGAUUGUAUCCUAUGUCGCUCUGAAAAAAAAGUGUCUGCUUCAUGACUGAAAUGUAAAAGUCAAAUGUAUUGACUGAUUCCAUUAACUUGUUGAAACAGGCCCCUGGGUUGACAGCAUCAGCUAUGGGGGGAAAAGGAAAGUAAAACUGAAAUGUUUUUUCCUGGCCACACGAACAUGUAUAUUGUUAUGACGAAUGACUCACUGACAAGUAAGACAGAAAGCAUUGAAAAGGGUUGUAAAAUGAUGCUUGUCUGUCCAACAGGAAUGAGUGUGCUCGCUGGAUCACUGCUCUGGGUCAGAGUAGCAAUGACGAGAAGAACCAAGACCGGACCAAUGCCAUGCAGGUGGUGGUGACGAGGACGUACACAGCCAAGCAGCCUGAUGAGCUGUCACUGCAGGUGGCUGACGUGGUCCUGGUGUCACAGACUGUGGAGGAUGGCUGGUAUGAGGGCGAGCGACUCCGUGAUGGCGAGAGGGGUUGGUUCCUGUCAGAAUGUGCUGAACCAAUCACGUGCCAGGCCACUAUUGAGCGCAACAUGCAGAGGAUGGACCGCCUCCAAGGGCUGGAAACCAAUGUGUGAUCUGGAACGGCAGGCUCCACCCACUAAUUACACAAGUGACCUGCCUGUUCUCAGACAGACCAAUGAGUGAACCUUAUGCCGAAGACGGCCUUUGACGUUGAGCGGACCGUCACUGAAUACACCCAUUUGAAAGUCUUUGGUCAACAGAGCGACGUGUGAGGUCUUUCCACCAGCGACUGAAUACACCAAUGAGCUGCCUUCAAGCACUAUCAACCAAUGAGAGAGCUGACUUGACACUAAAUUCACCAAUAGAAUCUCUCCGUGGGUCAACAGACAAAUGUAUGUGUGAGCCUUGUCUGCUGACUGUGUCUAUUAGAAUGGGGGUUUUGAUUGUUACCCAUGUAACGUUCUCCGCCUUCUACCGGUCUAUAUCGUAAGGACAUUUGACCUUUUGACCUGUCAACAACAUUCUGAUUCCUCCCACUGAUGGGAGACUGCCCGCGUAACUGUUUAUUUUGGGCCCCUGAAGGACAUCCCCCUUGGACACACACAUGACAUACUGGGGUCAAAAUUUAAAACUGCCACAUACAGAGUGGACACCUAUAGUAGAACGGCACGUUCAAACUGAUAUGGACACGGAUUCAUUUGAUUAACUAUUUCCUUCUGGAAAAACUCCCCAGAAGUUUCCGGGAAUUAAACGUACCCUCUCUACUACAUAGUAACUAACAAUUUAAAGGAACAAAACAACUAUGGUGAUGAUCUAUAUAUAUAUAUAUAUUUGUUUUAAUUGUCAUGCUUUUUAAAAUGCCUGGUUGUCCUGGUGUGAUGAUGAAUUGGCUGAGUGUAUGGAGCCAACAUGUGUCCAGUGUCCAGGUCAGUUUCACCUCUGCUCUGUGGUCAGGCCUUAGUGUGUGACGAGACUGAUGGGGAAGAGGCUCAGAUACACAAAUGGCACAGUAUUUUCCAACGUAUCUGUGUGUGCAGCUGGGAGGCCAUUUGUAAUGUAACUGAAUGUGACAAAUGUUCCAAAAUGGCCCAAUAACCCGUCCCUGUGUGGUUAGUAGGAGGCUGUGUGACUGCUGAAGAGGCUGAAUGUACAGUAAGGAGCCAAAAGGGUGGACUGAACGGUCCAGUUUCCAGACUUCCCUCUGGUUAGAAGGUUACAGUAUAGCGAGGCUGAAUGUUAUGAUGGUCUACAAAGGCAAAAAGAAACUCCCACCAUCAUGCCUGCUCCCGAUUCACAAGCCCUGCUCCCGAUUCACAAGCCCUGCUCCCGAUUCACAAGCCCUGCUCCCGAUUCACAAGCCCCUGCUCCCGAUUCACAAGCCCCUGCUCCCGAUUCACAAGCCCCUGCUCCCGAUUCACAAGCCCCUGCUCCCGAUUCACAAGCCCCUGCUCCCGAUUCACAAGCCCCUGCUCCCGAUUCACAAGCCCUGCUCCCGAUUCACAAGCCCCUGCUCCCGAUUCACAAGCCCUGCUCCCGAUUCACAAGCCCUGCUCCCGAUUCACAAGCCCCUGCUCCCGAUUCACAAGCCCCUGCUCCCGAUUCACAAGCCCCUGCUCCCGAUUCACAAGCCCCUGCUCCCGAUUCACAAGCCCCUGCUCCCGAUUCACAAGCCCCUGCUCCCGAUUCACAAGCCCCUGCUCCCGAUUCACAAGCCCUGCUCCCGAUUCCCAAGCCCUGCUCCCGAUUCCCAAGCACCUGCUCCCGAUUCCCAAGCACCUGCUCCCGAUUCCCAAGCCCCGCUCCCGAUUCCCAACAGUAACCAUUUUAGAUGCCUAAAACUAUUAGACAGGUAUUAGCAAUAUGGGUGUACCUCCACCUUGGUCUCAGCUUUGUUCAACUGACCCAUAUAGUCCUACGCAGUCCUUUCAGAGGGACACAAUGCAUAGGGGCUGGAAGUUGAUCUGUAAUUGGGCACUUUGUCUCUAGCUUAAUGUCACUUUACAUAAAUAGAACCAUUUCCGUCCCACAGACCUCCGUCAGUCUGCCACUCGGUGUGAUUAUGCCCAGUGAUGUCAGAGAUGGACGUUUUAAAAAUACUCUCCUUAUGAUUUCGGUGACGUGCGGCAGGAGAGAAAAUGAAAUGGUGUGACGCUCUCUGUUCUAAAACUGGAAAAGCCAGCUGUGAUUGUAACUCGAUUGUCCAGCAGGAUCUCUUUAAGUGUGUAAUGUUGUGUGUAACAUUGUCUCACGUCGCUGAAGGAAACAAGUCAUGUCCUGGUCAGCUUCCUGUUGAACUACCGUUCAUCAAACCGGACCACUACUCUCCAUGUGGUUUGACCCAGACAAAAAGCUUUGCACUCAGGGAAAACUGAUACCACAUGAAUUUAACCAAUGUUAAUCAUUCAUGUAAAUAUGUAACUAAUAGCAACCUCUGUUUAAACAUGCAUGUAAUCCACGGCUAUAGAUUUAUAUUGUAGAUGAUGAAGCCUUUGGAUAUUUAAUCCACUUUUUUUAAGUUUCUUUUGUGUUUUUAUACCCCGUUUUCUCCGCAAUUUCGUGGUUUCCAAUUGGCUCAUCGCUGCACCUUCCGUAUGGACUCGGGAGAAGGGAAGGUCAAGAGCCGUGCGUCCUCCGAAACCUAACCAGGGUGCACUGCUUCUUGACACAAUGCCCACUUAAGCCAGCAGCACCAAUGUGUCAAAGGAAACACCCGUGUCAGCGUGCACUGCGCCCGGCAAGCCACAAGAGUUGCUAGUGCAUGAUGGGUAAAGGACAUCCCCACUCGGGAGGCCCUUUUAAUCUAUACUUAACUAAUGCACAAAAUGUCUAUUUUGCUCAAAUGUGUUUACAUCCCUGUUAGGGAGCAUUUCUCCUUUGUCAAGGUAAUAAUGCCAUUUUGUGGGGAAAAACUCAUUCUGAUUGGCUGAGCCCAGCUCCCCGUGAAAUCCAUAGAUUAGGGCCUAAUGAAUUUAUUUCAGUUGACUGAUUUCCUGAUAUGAACUGUAACUACGUCAAAUUGUUAAUUGUUGUAUUUACUCUUGUUCAGUAUAUAUUUCUUUUUAAUAAAAGUCCCUUGGCAUAUUU